rnacentral:misc_RNA from 1 species
GAUGAAGAACGCAGCGAAAUGCGAUAAGUAAUGUGAAUUGCAGAAUUCAGUGAAUCAUCGAAUCUUUGAACGCACCUUGCGCUCCUUGGUAUUCCGAGGAGCAUGCCUGUUUGAGUGUCAUUAAAUUCUCAACUACACUGACUUUGAAUUGGUGUGGCUUGGAUUUGGGGGGAAAAUUGUUGUGGGCUUUUUGUAUAGUCUGCUCCCCUGAAAUUGAUUAGCGGCACCUUUGUGGAACUGUCUACAGGUGUGAUAAUUAUCUACAUCUUAGACAUCUGCUGGAAUGCUGCUUUCUAAACCUUACUUGUAUUGACAAUCUUGACCUCAAAUCAGGUAGGACUACCCGCUGAACUUAAGCAUAUCAAUAAGCGGAGGA